ensembl:lncRNA
GUGAACAAGUUGAUUGAUGAAUUGCAGGCAGCUAUAAAGAGCUACAAAGGUCACCUCUCAAAACUUCUCCCUCAGUUACGGGCUGAACAAGAGCAAUGCACUUCCUAUGUCUACCAGCACAUUAAAGAACUUCCUGCAAACACACUUGUCUCACAAGGUCUGCAGCUAAAGGUAAUGUGCCUACUACAUUUUGCCAACUAUGUUUUUAAAAGACAUUUCUUCAAUAAUAUUCCAAAUGCAUUGUACAUUUCAAUUUUGAUUCUUCAAAAGUGAGAUUUUGAUUUAUUUCUUCCAGUAUUCCAAUUCAUUAGUAUUUAAUUAAAGCAGCAGAUUGAAGAUCUAUAAAUAAAUGCAAGAAGGCAGAUGCAUACAACACUAUAUAUGCAGAAACUUAUUUCUAAUCAAAGAUGCAUAGAAAUAAUGUCAUUUAUAAAGGGCACACACUGCAGAUUUGCCUAAUAAAAUGCACAAAGCCAGGGACAUACUGCAAGUAGUAACAACAUGCAUGUACUUAUGAAUAAGCUAUUACAGUCAAAACUUGGGACCAACACAUAAGUAAUAAUUGGUUACUUGGUAAUGCAUUGACUUUGUUAUUAAUAAGAGUUUAAUAGCGUUAACUCAGCAAUGGGUUAAAAUUAUAGGAGAACAGAUUCCACCUGAACAAUAGGAAGAACUUCCUGAUAGAAAGAGCUGUUCGACAGUGGAACUUUCUGACUCCUUGGAAGCUUUUCAACAGAGGCUGGAUGGCCUUCUGUCAAGGGUGCUUUGAUUGUGUUUUUCGUGCAUGGCAGGGGGUUGAACUACAUGCCCCACAUGGUAUUUUCAAAUUCUAGCAUUCUAUGAGUCUUUGAUUUUAACUUACUGUUGUUACCCCACGAGCACCAUAUUUACUACUUUUACGGCAUAUUGCUACUGAGGUUUCACUUUAUUGUCAGUUAACUUAUUAUGAAUUUUUACCAAACAAAAGACAGCAAUAAGAAUCAACAUCAUCCUGCCCACACCCAACUCUAUCAACACCUGUGGAACUACCCUCAUUCCUCCAAGCAGACCAUGUGGGAUCUGCUUCUGAAGAUACCCAAGCCUCUCCAGCAUCCACAGUAUCCAUGGACCCAGAUUCCUCCCCAAGAUCCUCCGGAGCCCGUGCCCAAUCUAUGCCAACUUCCUCUGUCACCACCGGUUCCUCGGCAACCAUUUCCACCUCAAGAUCCCCUCCCAAGUCCCCACAUGAAUCCUCCUUGGAAGACUCCCCAUCAACCUCCCUGA